AGUUAAUAAGGUUGUUGUUAAUACGCCCCCCGGCAUUUGUGAGAAGCUCUCUGUGAUCAAGUGCUGGGAUUGCAAGUGAACAACUUCGCUGCGAGAGAGAUUUUCAUACCUCUACUGUCUAUAAGCGGUAUCUUAUAAAUACCGAGGUCCUUUGUUUCACUCUGUCCAGACGUGGUAUCUUAUAAAUACCAAGAACUCUCUGUUUAACCCUGUCCAGACGUGGUAUCUUAUAAAUACCGAAAGAUUUUCCUUGUUUUCUGCUUUGCGGUGAGAUUGUAUCAUGGGGAAAUCCCACAGUAAGGGAAAGAAACAAAA